AUGCACGCUGGCGGCGUGCCUCAUACAUGCCAGUCGAGCGAACAGACGAGGAGCUUGCUCCUCUGACGUUAGCGGCGGACGGGUGAGUAACACGUGGAUAACCUACCUAUAAGACUGGGAUAACUUCGGGAAACCGGAGCUAAUACCGGAUAAUAUAUUGAACCGCAUGGUUCAAUAGUGAAAGACGGUUUUGCUGUCACUUAUAGAUGGAUCCGCGCCGCAUUAGCUAGUUGGUAAGGUAACGGCUUACCAAGGCAACGAUGCGUAGCCGACCUGAGAGGGUGAUCGGCCACACUGGAACUGAGACACGGUCCAGACUCCUACGGGAGGCAGCAGUAGGGAAUCUUCCGCAAUGGGCGAAAGCUUGACGGAGCAACGCCGCGUGAGUGAUGAAGGUCUUCGGAUCGUAAAACUCUGUUAUUAGGGAAGAACAAAUGUGUAAGUAACUAUGCACGUCUUGACGGUACCUAAUCAGAAAGCCACGGCUAACUACGUG
rnacentral:rRNA from 1 species